UCUCUCUCGAGCUGCCAUUAAUUUCAGGGCUUAGAUGAAGAUCUGAAACAGCAGGUGGUGUUGUGGUGAUGGUGGUGGUGAUACCAAAUGGAGAGGGUGGAAGCAGAGGUUUUGAUGGGGUCGGCAGUUGUGUGCCGCAGAGUUGUGGCAGCUGGUUGAAGAUGUGGUGAUGGUGAUUUGCUGUUGAAUCUCAGUGUGCUCGAAGAUGAGUAGGGUUCAACAACUCUGUAUACCCUGCCCAUGUAGAUGAUGAUGAAGAAUCCAUCUUUCAUUAGACUUGUUUCUUUCAGGGUAGAGGUCAGUAGUAUGAAUAAUGUUUGAUGGUAUCCACAAUUUCAUCAAUUCCAAAAAGAGCGCAAGCUAAGUUUAUCUUAUGUUUUGUCAAACUGGUUCUCAUGUGAC